ACAUGCAGUCGAGCGAACAGACGAGGAAGCUUGCUCCUNNUGACGUUAGCGNGCGAGACGGNGAGAGUCACACUGUGGUAUCAUCUACCGUAUAAACAGUGGAUAUAACUUCGGGGAAACCGGAUCUUAUACCGGAUAAUAUAUUGAACCGCAGUGGUUCAAUAGUGAAAGACGGUUUUUGCUGUCACUUAUAAAUGGAUCCGCGCCGCAUUAGCUAGUUGGGAAGGUAACGGCUUACCAAGGCAACAAUGCGUAGCCAACCUGAAAGGGUGAUCGGCCACACUGGAACUGAAACACGGCCCAAACUCCUACGGGAGGCAGCAGUAGGGAAUCUUCCGCAAUGGGCGAAAGCCUGACGGAGCAACGCCGCGUGAGUGAUGAAGGUCUUCGGAUCGUAAAACUCUGUUAUUAGGGAAGAACAAAUGUGUAAGUAACUAUGCACGUCUUGACGGUACCUAAUCAGAAAGCCACGGCUAACUACGUGCCAGCAGCCGCGGUAAUACGUAGGUGGCAAGCGUUAUCCGGAAUUAUUGGGCGUAAAGCGCGCGAGGCGGUUUUUUAAGUCUGAUGUGAAAGCCCACGGCUCAACCGUGGAGGGUCAUUGGAAACUGGAAAACUUGAGUGCAGAAGAGGAAAGUGGAAUUCCAUGUGUAGCGGUGAAAUGCGCAGAGAUAUGGAGGAACCCAGUGGCGAAGGCGACUUUCUGGUCUGAACUGACGCUGAUGUGCGAAAGCGUGGGGAUCAAACAGGAUUAGAUACCCUGGUAGUCCACGCCGU
rnacentral:rRNA from 1 species